GAGGGGCCGGCGACCUUUGACCUUUCUCCAAAGGUGUUGGUCACCUGGAUUAUAAAAGACUUCGGAGAUAGCCAUCCAGUGUUUGUUGAUCUGUAUCCCUUGAUGUUCUGUUUUCCAUUAGAUAAGGGCUGUUAAUUCUUGGUUUGAAAAAAAACAAAUAGGUCCAAAGGACUCUGGAUCGAGAAGAGGCCUAUGGGACCACCUGGCUUCAUGUGUGGAUUUGCACGGCUCUUGCCCAGAGGCGGGUACACUGUGUUCCAGUGUGCCACAGAACUCACGCAGUGGCACUUUGUGGCUUCAUGAAGGAAGAGGCAGGCCACGCAACACUUCCUCCCCAAGCCAAGGAGAAGUAUCACUUUUAGAGGCAGAGGAGCGGAAGGCAGUGGGGUGACCAAAAGUGCCAUUUAUUAAAGUCUCCUCCAAUCUGAAAUAGUUCCUCAGUUUUUCCUU
rnacentral:sRNA from 1 species